UUUUUUAUAUUGGAAUUACAGGCUAUAUUAGAGAAACAGGCUAGACUCACAUGUCCUCAAUUACAUUAAUAGUGAGUGGAGUUAGAUGUGAUUAGACAUGUGUACAAGAUUAGUAGAUAUCAAAGUGAGCAAAGAGCAUGGCAUAAACUGAGUGUAAAGAUAAAACUGUGAUUACUGAAUGACAUGCUAAUUAUGUAUACAGAAGGUUAAACCACUGGAAUAAAGACAAAUUAUAC